UCUGUCAAAAGAGAAAAACAUGGUGUCGAUAUUUACUGUAAACAAACUUGAAUGGUCCUAACCCUGCCACUCUCGAGCACUUUCACUGCCUGCUGCAUACCUUCACGCAACAAUUGAAUUAGGCCUACUUAAUAAUUUAAAACAUUGGAAUAUUAUUAAAAACACAUUUCAAUAUUACUAUAAGAUUAUUUUGAUCAGGGUGUUUAAGGCAAUGUAUUACAUCUAGAUUUAUUUGUGAAUUUCAAAUGAAUUAUGCAAUAUAGUAUGAACAAACGGCUGUCCUUAUGCAUCGCUGAAAUGAUGCCAAAUUUAUUGUAUCAAAGUUGCCCAUGCGAAAGCCAGAAGUGUCCUAAUAUUGUCCUACAUAGGUCUAUAUCCUCUGUAGCCUGCCUCUGCGAGAACCUCGCACGACAGAGACUGGGUUUCGAAUUUCACAGUCAAUACAGUGGGCUUGCCUUCACACUCAUUUCAAGCACAAAGGAAAGCUGUGCAAAAAUGAUAUUGUAAAUGUAACUUUUCGAUUUAAUGUAGGUAAUAUGUUUAUUUUUAUUCUAUACAUAGGCCUAAAACACAGGUUAAGCGUUGCGAUCCAUGAAAGGGGGCUGAUAGCGGCAUAUUCCGUGAAAGUAGGGAAGUAAAGUUAGGCUACAGAUAAAGCGGGCAAACAAUAGCCUAGUAAGAGUCAAUAACAAAGACCGAAAGGACUCUACAAAUCCGGCAAAAAAUAAGGUGAAAAUGGAAGACUUCGCUUGAGAAAUUGUCCGAUUAUAAAAGAGGAACGUAAAAAAGAACCAUGAUCCGAAGAAAAAAUAAUGAUAAACUUACCAGACAUGUUGUACAAAUUAAGAAGGAGUGCUGGAAGAAGAGCAGUUAUGAGAUUCCACAAUGUCCUUUUCUGGCUCAGUUAUAUGGGCUAUAACGAAAUAUUCAUAAAAGUCACACAAAUUCUCAACACACAAGUCUUAAAACUGUCUCAGAGCAUACAAUAAUAUCCUAAUAUAGCUAGGGAUAUAUUAGUUUGUGAAAUUUUCUCUCCAUGCCUACUUUUUAAAACCCCUAGAACUCAAUGAUUUGACAAUGAUUUGAUUGCGCGUUACUUUCAAUUUGAAUAUUCAAAGGCUACUCAAAAAUACAGAUUUUUCAGUAUAAAUCAAUACAUAUGCACUUAAAAUAACAUUUAAUUUAAUAGAUUUUAAUAAUAUUUUAUACCCAAACCAAAAAGAAAUGGACAUUUUAAACAUUUUAUCCAUGUUUUGCCAAUCUGCCAUCAGGCCCUCUUCAUAAUGAGGCACUACAGGAAAGUAACGGUUAGAUGUUCUAUCUAAACAUGACCAACAAUUAAACAUCGCAGAUCAUAUGUAUAUCAGGAUGGAUGAGCACAUUAACACGUUAUUACCAUAUAUUUUUAGUCUUAUUUUAAACAAUAAACUAUUAAAUGUCUAGGUUGUGGGCGUGGCAUAUGGUAGCAGCCAUUUCUGCCAUCACUGACUCCGUUGCUCCCUCAGCAAUUCCAUGCUCCCCAUCACUGGAACUCACAUCACCCACGUCUUAUUAUAGUUGUUUUAGCAUUAUUUAGUUUAGUUACAUUAAUUAUAUAAUAUAAAGACUGAACGUUUUAGCCAUUCACAUGUCAAACCUGAUUUGACAUCCCAGGGCUAGGCUAUUAUAUACGAAUCGAGAAAACUAUUUACAAAUGAAUUGCAAUGCAAAAAAAUCGGUUUACAAACGUCUGAUAUAUUUUCAAUUCAAUGACAAGACUCUCGGAUUAGUCUACUUGUGUAGCCUUGGCCUACUUAGAUGUGGGCAAAGUCAUUUCAAUUGAUUAUUGGAAUAGGGUUACUGUCCAUACCUGUUUAAAUGUAUAAGAGUUCACAACUUAAUACAUAUGAUGUGAGAAAACAGCACAUUGCUUUAGAGAAAACCAUUUCCUAUAAAUGUUCUUCCAUUGCCAUUGUGAGCCUACAUUACAUUUGAAUAACAAUUUACAAACAUAUCAAACAAUGAACUCGAACUUAUUUUUAUAUAAUUGGUUUAUUUUACCUUUAUUUAACCAGGUAGACAAGUUGAGAACAAGUUCUCAUUUACAACUGCGACCUGGCCAAGAUAAAGCAAAGCAGUUCGACACAUACAGAGUUACACAUGGAAUAAAACAAACAUACAGUCAAUAAUACAGUAGAAAAAUAAGUCUAUAUACAAUGUGAGCAAAUGAGGUGAGAUAAGGGAGGGAAGGGCAAUAGUUUUAAUUAAAAUAGCUUAGAUUUCAGUUUUGGGGUAUCGAUCUAUCAUUAUCCUCACUCAUAUAUUGAGAAAAUGCACGUACACUAUCUGCCCAACACAAUCUAUGGCCUUUCCUGAUUUGUACUGGUAGGGGCCUAUACAAUGAUCCCUAUUAUGUAGGCCUAAAUCCCAUCAUCUCCACUGGGUAGUUGUAUUGACAAACUUCCAUAAAGUAGGACCUGGGUCCAUUAUCCUAACUACCAAGAAUAUUAUGCUAGUGCUCUCAUAGAAUAUCUAACGUUUGGCUUUUUUUAUUGAUUUAUUGCUGCCGUUGCAAUUCCCCCCAUGAAUUACGCUGAUAUCAUAAGAGAAGAGGUAACAUGAAACAACCGCGCCAUCUAGUGUAGGAUAUACGUUAGUAGGUUCUCCCUCAGUCUUAAUUCGAUGUAGUGGUGACAGAACAAAAUAUAACUCAACAAACGGAAAAGUCAUGUUUUUUUCAUGUGUCAUUUUAGCAAAAAAUAUGUUUCAUUUUCAUGCAUUUAUUGCAGUGUCUUUUAUUAUAAUGGAUUUAUAAUAAAGAAUUCUACUGCCCUAUA